UACGGAGGGUGCGAGCGUUGUCCGGAAUCACUGGGCGUAAAGGGCGCGUAGGCGGAUACUUAAGUCGGGGGUGAAAGCCCAGGGCUCAACCCUGGAAUUGCCUUCGAUACUGGGUAUCUUGAGUACGGGAGAGGUGUGUGGAACUCCGAGUGUAGAGGUGAAAUUCGUAGAUAUUCGGAAGAACACCAGUGGCGAAGGCGACACACUGGCCCGUUACUGACGCUGAGGCGCGAAAGCGUGGGGAGCAAACAGG
rnacentral:rRNA from 1 species